GUUUUAUAUUGACAUAUAACUUAUUUUAUUGACAUUCAUUUUUCGAUAGUGAUUUAAGUUUGUUUUACUUUGAAAAAAUAACAGUGUUCCAAACAGUCGUUUAUUAUUAUUACAAAUUAUGGAAUGAUAAGUAAUGAUGUUAACUAAAUUUGAAUGGUUUGAGAUGUUGGUGUAAUGAUAUUUGGAGUGUUUCGGGGGGAUUAGUAUUUUGUCGUUAGAAGUGAAAUUCUUGGAUUGAGAAAAGACUAACAACAGCAAAAGCAUUGAUCUAGAAGCUAUUCCUUGAUCAAGAACGUAAGUUGCGGGAUCGAAGACGAUCAGAUACCGUCGUAGUCUCAACUAUAAACAAUAUCAAUUAGGAUUUAGCGAAUGUUUAUAUAAUAUUGUUUGAACCUUAAGAGAAAUCAAAGUGUUUGGUUUCUGGGGGGAGUAUGGUUGCAAGGCUGAAACUUAAAGGAAUUGACGGAAGGGCACCACAAGAUGUGUAUUCUGUGGCUUAAUUUGACUCAACACAGGAAAUCUUAUCAGGUCCAGACAUAAGAAUUAUUGACAGAUUGACAGCUCUUUCUUAAUUCUGCGGAUUGUGGUGCAUGGCCGUUCUUAGUUGGUGGAGUGAUUUGUCUGGUUAAUUCUGCUAACGAACGAGACGAUCGACUGUUAAUUCGCGUAAAAACUGAUUUCAUGAUUUUGCUUCUUUUAGAAACUAGAUUUGCAUAAAAAGCUGGAAGUUGGUAGCAAUAACAGGUCUGUGAUGCCCUUAGACGUUCUGGGUAGCGCACGGGCUACAAUAGGAGAAUUACUAUGCUUAAUAUCUUAAUUCGAGAUGAGCUGAGAAAUCAUGAAACUUAUCUAUAGUUGGGGUUACACAUUGAAAUUAUUAUGUACUAACCAGGAAUGUCUAGUAAAUUUAAGUCAUUAACGUUCUUUGAAUGCGUCCCUGCCUUUUGUACACACCGCCCGUCGCUCCUACCGAUUGGAUAAGUUAGUGAAUAGAUUGGAUUAUGA
rnacentral:rRNA from 1 species